UACGGAGGAUGCAAGCGUUAUCCGGAAUGAUUGGGCGUAAAGCGUCCGCAGGUGGCUGUGUAAGUCUGCUGUCAAAGAGCAAAGCUCAACUUUGUAAAGGCAGUGGAAACUACACGGCUAGAGUGCGUUCGGGGCAGAGGGAAUUCCUGGUGUAGCGGUGAAAUGCGUAGAGAUCAGGAAGAACACCGGUGGCGAAGGCGCUCUGCUAGGCCGCAACUGACACUGAGGGACGAAAGCUAGGGGAGCAAACCGG
rnacentral:rRNA from 1 species